UCAAAUCUCAGUUCACUUCUUGAUGGGUAAGAGUCCAACUAAGUGGCAACUGUCAAAUAACAUUUUGGUCCUUCCCCCUUUUCUUCAAGUCAUUAACAAAACAUCUGGAAGAAGACUGUCUCACUUCUUAAUCAGAAUUGGAGUCCUCAACCAUAGCAGUUUUUAAAAGUGAAAAAAGAGACACUUGGUGAUGCAGUUGGGCUCUCCUGGUAUGGAAGAUGACAACUGGAGGAAGACUUUGGACUACAUCAAUCAAAGCAAGCAAGCACAUGUAAUAUCAAUACACCAACAGAGAUUUGCAAUUAGCAAUAAGCUGCUAGAGU